GUUGUCCUGCCAUGAUUGCUUUAUCCGUCAAGAGAGCCCGGGGUCAGGGUUGCAGUGUAGCAGGUGGUGACUGCCGUUACAAAGAGAGCCCCAUGUAACGUUGGGGGAGGCUAACUUUGUCGGGGAGAUCCAGGUUUGCUGCAAAGGCAUCAGAGGCACACUCCGUAAGCCCCCUACUGACUGACAGCUCCAGAGCCUAUUAUGCCAACUUUUUACAGACACCCAGCCAAGUGAGGGUGUGCAAAGAUGUUAUCAUCCUGCUGCCUGCUGAGAGAGAGAGAGAGAGACAGCCGACUCAAACCAAGUUGGCACGUGGGAGCGAGAGCUCCAGGGAGCGCCACGUGGGAAUCGACAAGUACCGUCCGCUGACCCCUCCCCUUACAGGGCAAACUGCCAACUGUGCAUAAGGGGAAUUUGGGUUGACAGAUAUAUUCUGUAGCUGUCCUACCUGGUCCUGUGGGAGAAUCGGUGUGUGAUGUUGACCCGGGAUGACGGAUGGCAAUGCCUGGAAGACCAACACCUGAGGAGGGAAGGAAGCUGCCCUGCCUGGAGAAGAGGAAUCAUGUUGACAGUACUGAUGAUGUCCAGCGUUUAACACAAAUAUAUAACUUGCACUUUAUAUAAAUGUAGGCUUUUGUGUAAUAAUGUUGAUGUCUUUGGAAGUCAUGUACUUUUUAAAUAGAAUGUAUUCAAUUUACAUUUAUCUCUUAUACAUAGCUUAUGGCUUUUCUUUUUCCCAUAUAUGUUCAAAAAGAUUUUUGUGAUCUUUAGGUCUGUCUUGAA